UACGUAGGGUGCAAGCGUUAAUCGGAAUUACUGGGCGUAAAGCGUGCGCAGGCGGUUCUCUAAGUCAGAUGUGAAAUCCCCGGGCUCAACCUGGGAACUGCAUUUGUGACUGUAGAGCUGGAGUACGGCAGAGGGGGAUGGAAUUCCGCGUGUAGCAGUGAAAUGCGUAGAUAUGCGGAGGAACACCGAUGGCGAAGGCAAUCCCCUGGGCCCGUACUGACGCUCAUGCACGAAAGCGUGGGGAGCAAACAGG
rnacentral:rRNA from 1 species